UACGUAGGGUGCAGGCGUUAAUCGGAAUUACUGGGCGUAAAGCGUGCGCAGGCGGUUUGCUAAGACAGGUGUGAAAUCCCCGGGCUUAACCUGGGAACUGCGCUUGUAACUGGCAAGCUGGAGUGUGGCAGAGGGGGGUGGAAUUCCACGUGUAGCAGUGAAAUGCGUAGAUAUCGAGAGGAACACCAGUGGCGAAGGCGAGUCCCUGGACAACACCUGACACUGAGGCACGAAAGCUAGGGGAGCAAACAGG
rnacentral:rRNA from 1 species